UGCAGUCAGACACGAUUGAUGGCAUGCUGCUGUUGACCCCCAAGAGGUUCAUACAAGUGAGACCACUGGAAUUACAUGAUGUCCACACAAGGCGUACCACUGUUCUCCAUGCCCUUCCUGUCUAUCUACGUGAGGAAACCUCUGGAUUUUUGAGGACAUGUGUGGGCAUGCUCAGUUGAAGUUUCCAUCUCUGCGCGUUCAAGAUGUAAGAAAAAUAACACGAAAGAAAUGCAACAAUGAAAACUUCAAAAAGGCAUCAACAACCAAGCAAGUGGAUCCAUAAAAUGGACUGAUUUUUUUAAAGGCAUUUUUAAAAAGUCUUUCAAAAUGGACAGAAUUAACGCGUUAAACAUGUUCAGAACAGUUUGCGUUCUCAUCUUUGAUUAAUCCUGGUAAACGGGUCUGUUUUUGUUCUGUUCUAAUUCUCUCUGUUUAAUAAAUUUAAACAAAAUGACUUAGCUAUUUUAUUUAAUUUUUUUUCUCUGCAUAAAGACGAAGUAUCAGUAAAUAGUGGAAAGUAAAUGUAUUGGUAGUAAGCAAAUAGCAGAUGUUAAAUGUUACUUGCAGUAUGUGUUUAUAGAAAAAAUAGAGAUACUUAAAUGUACUAAAAGAAUAUUACGUCAAGUUUACUGUAAAGUGUACUUUCAAAACUGUAAGUAUACUCAAUUAUAUGAGAAGUACACUACAAGUAAACAUAUAUUAUUACUUUAAGUAUAAUUUUAAGUAUACAUUCAAAGAGAAAAGUAUACUCAAUUAUUUCAGAAGUACACUACAAGUAAACUUAUAAUGCUACUUAAAGUUUAUUUUUAAGUAUACUUUCAAGGGCAAAAGUUUACUCAAUUUUAUUAGAAGUAAACUUAUACUGUUACUUUUAAGUAUACUUUCAAUGAGAAAAGUAUACUCAACUAUAUC